rnacentral:lncRNA from 10 species
UUGCAUCCUGGCCAUUCUGACUGAAGCAUCUGUGGCUCAAAUGGCCCCAAGUACAGCUCAGAUCACUGCUCUGGAGGCCCAGAUGGCUACAAGCCUGUACAGAAUGUUAUGACACUGUAUACUGGAGGCAACUCUAACACAAUGUACAUGAAUCACUCCUACUAAGAGAUCCUGAAAGAGGUCAUCAAAGCCACCAGAAACUAUUCCUGGACAGAGGAGGUUUUAUAGGUGUGGUUGGUCUCCUUACUGACGUGUCAACUACAAAUGCACAGGGUUCUGCCUGAAAUGUUUUAGUUGUUGCAGAUGUGUAGCUUCUAUAUGUAAAGUCUUCACUGCACGUGCUACAGAAACUUGAACUAUCUGAAGAGAGGAUGGAGUCAUCAGAUACUGGAUCCAGUCAAAAUAUUUGGAUGCUUUCAGAAACAUCUGCCUAGCUGAGAUGUGGGGAAGGAACAUAAAGCAUUUUCUCUCCCAGUCCCUGCUGAAAGGGAACAAGAAGACUAAGCAAUAAGUGAGAAAAGAAAUGAUGGAAUAGAUGUGAGGCUUCCACAGCAAACUCCUGUAAAACCUGCAGUUAAACCUGAGCAAGAGGAAUGUGACAUAUGUGUCUUUGCUCUUUAUUUGGAUCUGUGUGUAUGCUCUUGGAGCAGUGGCGAAGAAGCUCCAGGGUAAUCUAAAAACCAAAAUAAAUGCCUUGAGAUCUUUUCUGGGAAUGAAAAAAUACAAAGACAAGCUAAGAAGCUGGAGCAGGAAAUUGACUUCAAACUCUGCUUGGAGAAUCACCAGCUGCAAAACUGUAUGGGGCAAAUUUCUCAUAAGAGUAUAGAGGAUGUGACACUGUACAGAGUUCACACUCAUGACUCAAUGAUGAAAUGGAAACCAGGAAGACCUGAUUAUGCAUGUCUGUGAAACUCACCCAUGCCAUCUGGAAAGGAAAAAGUUAAGUUGCAUUUCUGCAAUACAUUCUCUCCCUUCCCUGAGCUGCUCCUGGAAUAUAAAGAAAGCAAGUGAGUUGAACUAAUCCUCUUAUAAACAUACUAAUGAUAAAUCUCCCAGUAAAACAACAACAAUAACAAUAAAGGUCUUCUGCUAACAAAAGAGUCUUUUCCUAUGUGAAGUUUUAGUAGAAUGUGCUUAAUUGUCUAGAAUUAUUUAUAGUAAGCAAACAGAAGUAUAUGGACUUACGCAUAAUGGCUCCUUGGAAAAUGUUAUAUUAUAUAUGUAACUCUUUCUGUAGAAAAUAUCUGUCUCCUUUCAUGAAAGUGAG